rnacentral:rRNA from 1 species
AGAGUUUGAUCCUGGCUCAGAUUGAACGCUGGCGGAAUGCUUUACACAUGCAAGUCGAACGGCAGCGCGGGAGCUUGCUCCUGGUGGCGAGUGGCGAACGGGUGAGUAAUGCGUCGGAACGUGCCGAGUAAUGGGGGAUAACGCAGCGAAAGCUGUGCUAAUACCGCAUACGCCCUGAGGGGGAAAGUGGGGGAUCGCAAGACCUCACGUUAUUCGAGCGGCCGACGUCUGAUUAGCUAGUUGGUGGGGUAAUGGCCUACCAAGGCGACGAUCAGUAGCGGGUCUGAGAGGAUGAUCCGCCACACUGGAACUGAGACACGGUCCAGACUCCUACGGGAGGCAGCAGUGGGGAAUUUUGGACAAUGGGGGCAACCCUGAUCCGGCCAUUCCGCGUGAGUGAAGAAGGCCUUCGGGUUGUAAAGCUCUUUCAGCUGGAACGAAACGGUACGCGCUAACAUCGUGUGCUAAUG